AUAUUGUUUUCUAUCGACUUCUCCUGUCAAAACCGAGGGCGAUAUGGUUAUAAGGAGCGAGAAUUUUAUACUAAGUGUUUAAUAUCAAUAUAAUGUAGAAUUUUUGUAUAAUGUUGAACAGCUGUUGGAAAUCAAGGUUUUCAACAUUUCCACAGAAAUGUAAACGUUACCGCAUAGAUAUAGUAUAAGUACUGUAAAAAGAUUCAAAGGAAAACUAGUUGUUUGAAAUGCUGCCAGCUAUGGAUCUUUGGAAAUCCAUUAGAAUGAUUUAGUUCUGAAGCUAGAAGGCAUCUAUAACAGAGAGAAUAAAUGAGUCAUGGAUACACAACAGCAAAGAUGCAAAAAGAUAGCAUUGUACAAAGUCCCAAAUCCUAGCAAUCAAAAAAGUAAAAGUGUCAUUGAAUGUGUUAACGCAAAAGUAAGAGCUUUUAAUAAACAUAAUAAAAAGCAAAAAAUCGAGACCAUCUUACACAGUCAAUCAUCUACAUCUAGUGGCUCAAAAAACAAUUGUUUCCAAUCCCAAAAUGCCUUAGAUUUACUCAAUGAUCUUGUUAGUUUAAAUAAUGAGUUACUGGAAGAAAAUGAGCAAGAUAUUGACAAUGAAGUCAAUAAGCUAAGGGCUAAAUAUAAAUUACCUCCUUUAAGGAGUCUUCAAAUAAAUUCUAUUAAUUAUACCCUUACCCAUGGAAGUGUUAAUUCUCAAGUGAAUGUUGACUACAGUGACGAUGAAGAUGAAAUUGCUUCCAAAUAUCCAGAAAAUAUUGGAAAAGACAGUGGUUGUGAUAUUGACUAUAGUUCAGAAAACAUUGGAAAAGAUAGUGAAACAGAGAUUUUUGAGAGUAAAAUUUCUAUUGAGGAAGUAGAGCUUGUUGAUAUAGACUCACAUUAUGAAAAUGAGUGUAGCAGAAAAGAUGAACUCGGCGCUGGAAUUUAUAAUUUAACCAGAAACUUGGAUAAAAAUCCCAAGAGUGAUAAAUGUGGUGCUGAAUAUCCUUGUGACAUAGAUCAUAAAUAUCAAAAAGCCAGUGACAGAAGAUUGUGUAAUAAGUGUUCAAUAUGUUCAAUUAGAUGUAAAAGUUUUAAUGAUUUGAAACGGCAUGUUACCACUCAGCAUAUAAAACGAAGAAGUUCAAGUAGCGGCAGUUCACUGGAAAUUAUUGAAAUUGAUUAAGUUUAUCAAUCUGAUAUUCCUAGGGCAAUUAGUUGACAGUUGUUAUACCCAUUAAUCAUUUGACAGCAGCAUUAAAAUCUCUGUUGGGCAUGUUUAUGAAAAAAAAAAAAAACUGCUAACCAAAUUUGAUUGAUCCCUGCCUUGUAUGUCCACUAUUUGAAUCCUCCGAUUUUGCAUUAGUGCUCGGCUUUAUGUGAAGAAAAACAAAAGCCAAACUUUUACAAAAAAAAAAACAUCACCUAAUGCCCAUAAAUGUUCGAUUUAAAAAUUCUACUGCAACCACCAUUAAUAACACAGGUCUACAAAAUUAAACUUUUUGACAGAUGAUUUUAU